CAUAAAGUAGUUUAAAAAAAACGUGAAAUUGCAAAUUUUAAAAUGCUCAAUAUAAUUGGCCUUUAUGU
rnacentral:tRNA from 1 species